GAUGAACGCUGGCGGCGUGCUUAACACAUGCAAGUCGAACGGGAAUUAUUUUAUUGAAACUUCGGUCGAUUUAAAUUAAUUCUAGUGGCGGACGGGUGAGUAACGCGUGGGUAACCUGCCUUAUACAGGGGGAUAACAGUCAGAAAUGGCUGCUAAUACCGCAUAAGCGCACAGAGCUGCAUGGCUCAGUGUGAAAAACUCCGGUGGUAUAAGAUGGAACCGCGUUGGAUUAGCUGGUUGGUGGGGUAACGGCCCACCAAGGCGACGAUCCAUAGCCGGCCUGAGAGGGUGAACGGCCACAUUGGGACUGAGACACGGCCCAGACUCCUACGGGAGGCAGCAGUGGGGAAUAUUGCACAAUGGGGGAAACCCUGAUGCAGCGACGCCGCGUGAAGGAAGAAGUAUCUCGGUAUGUAAACUUCUAUCAGCAGGGAAGAUAGUGACGGUACCUGACUAAGAAGCCCCGGCUAACUACGUG
rnacentral:rRNA from 1 species